AAAGCUUUAGAAAAAAAAUAAUUUCGUACCUUUGUCUAAGGUGAGUUGUGGUUUUUCCCACAAGUUUUU
rnacentral:tRNA from 1 species